rnacentral:rRNA from 1 species
AACGAACGCUGGCGGCGCGCCUAACACAUGCAAGUCGAACGCGAAAGGGAGCAAUCCUGAGUAAAGUGGCGCACGGGUGAGUAACGCGUAGGUCAUCUACCUCUGCGACCGGGAUAACCAGCCGAAAGGUUGGCUAAUACUGGAUAGAGCGCACAGAUCAUAAAGGUUUGUGCGGGAAAGGGCGGCGUAGCAAUACGCCGUUGCGCUGAGAUUAGCCUGCGUCUCAUUAGCUAGUUGGUGAGGUAAUGGCUAACCAAGGCAUUGAUGGGUAGCUGGUCUGAGAGGACGAUCAGCCACACUGGAACUGAAACACGGUCCAGACUCCUACGGGAGGCAGCAGUGGGGAAUCUUGCGCAAUGGGCGAAAGCCUGACGCAGCGACGCCGCGUGGGUGAAGAAGGCCUUCGGGUUGUAAAGCCCUGUCGAGUGGGAAAAAUGGUAUCCAGAAUAAUACGCUGGGUAAUUGAUGGUACCACUAGAGGAAGCACCGGCUAACUCCGUGCCAGCAGCCGCCGUAACAC